rnacentral:rRNA from 1 species
GACGAACGCUGGCGGCGUGCUUAACACAUGCAAGUCGAACGGUAAGGCCCUUCGGGGUACACGAGUGGCGAACGGGUGAGUAACACGUGGGUGAUCUGCCCUGCACUUCGGGAUAAGCCUGGGAAACUGGGUUCAAUACCGGAUAGGACCACUGCCUGCAUGGGUGGUGGUGGAAAGCUUUUGCGGUGUGGGAUGGGCCCCGGGCCUAGCAGCUGGUUGGUGGGGUGAUGGCCUACCAAUGCGACGACGGGUAGCCGGCCUGAGAGGGUGACCGGCCACACUGGGACUGGAAUACGGCCCAGACUCCUACUGGAGGCAGCAGUGGGGAAUAUUGCACAAUGGGCGCAAGCCUGAUGCAGCGACGCCGCGUGAGGGAUGACGGCCUUCGGGUUGUAAACCUCUUUCAGCACCGACGAAGCGCAAGUGACGGUAGGUGCAGAAGAAGGACCGGCCAANUANGUGCCAGCAGCCGCCGUAA